rnacentral:rRNA from 1 species
AUUGAACGCUGGCGGCAUGCCUUACACAUGCAAGUCGAACGGCAGCACGGGUGCUUGCACCUGGUGGCGAGUGGCGAACGGGUGAGUAAUACAUCGGAACGUACCUUAUCGUGGGGGAUAACGCAGCGAAAGCUGUGCUAAUACCGCAUACGCCCUGAUGGGGAAAGCGGGGGAUCGCAAGACGUCGCCCGACUAGAGCGGCCGCUGCCUGAUUAGCUAGUUGGUGGGGUAAAAGCCCACCAAGGCGACGAUCAGUAGCUGGUCUGAGAGGACGAUCAGCCACACUGGGACUGAGACACGGCCCAGACUCCUACGGGAGGCAGCAGUGGGGAAUUUUGGACAAUGGGGGCAACCCUGAUCCAGCAAUGCCGCGUGAGUGAAGAAGGCCUUCGGGUUGUAAAGCUCUUUUGUCAGGGAAGAAACACCGGCUCUAACACAGUCCGGGAAUGACGGUACCUGAAGAAUAAGCACCGGCUAACUACGUGCCAGCCGCCGCAGUAA